rnacentral:misc_RNA from 1 species
GAUGAAGAACGUAGCGAAAUGCGAUAAGUAAUGUGAAUUGCAGAAUUCAGUGAAUCAUCGAAUCUUUGAACGCACAUUGCGCCCGCCAGUAUUCUGGCGGGCAUGCCUGUUCGAGCGUCAUUUCAACCAUCAAGCCCCCGGCUUGUGUUGGGGACCUGCGGCUGCCGCAGGCCCUGAAAAGCAGUGGCGGGCUCGCUGUCACACCGGGCGUAGUAGAUUUUAUCUCGCUCAGGGCGUGCUGCGGGUCCCGGCCGUUAAAAGCCUUUUUUUACCCAAGGUUGACCUCGGAUCAGGUAGGAAGACCCGCUGAACUUAAGCAUAUCAAUAAGCGGAGGA